CCUACGGGAGGCAGCAGUAAGGAAUAUUGGACAAUGGUCGCAAGACUGAUCCAGCCAUGCCGCGUGCAGGAUGACAGCCCUAUGGGUCGUAAACUGCUUUUGUGCGAGAAAAAACCCCUCUACGUGUAGAGGGCUGAUUGUAUCGUAAGAAUAAGGAUCGGCUAACUCCGUGCCAGCAGCCGCGGUAAUACGGAGGAUCCAAGCGUUAUCCGGAUUCAUUGGGUUUAAAGGGUGCGUAGGCGGAAUGAUAAGUCAGUGGUGAAAGCCUGCAGCUUAACUGCAGAACUGCCAUUGAUACUGUCAAUCUUGAGUACAUUUGAUGUGGGCGGAAUGUGUCAUGUAGCGGUGAAAUGCUUAGAUAUGACACAGAACACCGAUUGCGAAGGCAGCUCACAAAACUGUAACUGACGCUGAGGCACGAAAGCGUGGGUAUCAAACAGGAUUAGAUACCCUGGUAGUCCACGCUGUAAACUAUGAUUACUCGAUGUUUGCGAUACACUGUAAGCGUCUAAGCGAAAGCGAUAAGUAAUCCACCUGGGGAGUACGNUCGCAAGAGUUGAAACUUCAAAUUGGAAUUGACCGGGNNGNGNGAGCGACGACGACACCGGAAGGGAAGUAAG
rnacentral:rRNA from 1 species